rnacentral:tRNA from 1 species
GUGGAUGUAGUUUAAUAAAAACAUCAGAUUGUGAUUCUGAAAAUAGAAGUUAAAAUCUCCUCCUCCACC